rnacentral:rRNA from 1 species
UACGUAGGGGGCGAGCGUUGUCCGGAAUGAUUGGGCGUAAAGGGCGCGUAGGCGGCCCGGUAAGUCUGGAGUGAAAGUCCUGUUUUUAAGAUGGGAAUUGCUUUGGAUACUGUCGGGCUUGAGUGCAGGAGAGGUAAGUGGAAUUCCCAGUGUAGCGGUGAAAUGCGUAGAGAUUGGGAGGAACACCAGUGGCGAAGGCGACUUACUGGACUGUAACUGACGCUGAGGCGCGAAAGUGUGGGGAGCAAACAGGAUUAGAUACCCUGGUAGUCCACACUGUAAACGAUGAAUGCUAGGUGUAGGGGGUAUCGACCCCUUCUGUGCCACAGUCAACACAAUAAGCAUUCCGCCUGGGGAGUACGGCCGCAAGGUUGAAACUCAAAGGAAUUGGCGGGG